rnacentral:rRNA from 1 species
CGACCGGCGCACGGGUGAGUAACACGUAUCCAACCUGCCGUCUACUCUUGGCCAGCCUUCUGAAAGGAAGAUUAAUCCAGGAUGGGAUCAUGAGUUCACAUGUCCGCAUGAUUAAAGGUUUACCGGUGUAAGAUGGGGAUGCGUUCCAUUAGAUAGUAGGCGGGGUAACGGCCCACCUAGUCUUCGAUGGAUAGGGGUUCUGAGAGGAAGGUCCCCCACAUUGGAACUGAGACACGGUCCAA